AUUGAACGCUGGCGGCAUGCCUUACACAUGCAAGUCGAACGGCAGCACGGGAGCAAUCCUGGUGGCGAGUGGCGAACGGGUGAGUAAUAUAUCGGAACGUGACCAGUCGUGGGGGAUAACGUAGCGAAAGCUACGCUAAUACCGCAUACGAUCUAUGGAUGAAAGCGGGGGAUCGCAAGACCUCGCGCGAUUGGAGCGGCCGAUAUCAGCUUAGGGAGUUGGUGAGGUGAAGGCUCACCAAGCCGACGAUCUGUAGCUGGUCUAAGAGUACGACCAGCAACACUGGGACGGAGACACGGACCAGCCUUCUACGUGAGGAAACGGUGGGGAAUUUAGGACAAUGGGCGCAAGCCUGUUCCAGCAAUGCCGCGUGCAGGAUGAAGGCAUUCGGGUUGUAACUGCUUUUGUACGGAACGAAACGGUGAGCUCUAAUACAGUUUGCUAAUGACGGUACCGUAAGAAUAAGCACCGGCUAACUACGUGCCAGCAGCCGCCGUAAGAC
rnacentral:rRNA from 1 species